UACGUAGGGUGCGAGCGUUGUCCUGAAUUACUGGGCGUAAAGAGCUCGUAGGUGGUUUGUCGCGUUGUUCGUGAAAACUCACAGCUCAACUGUGGGCGUGCGGGCGAUACGGGCAGACUGGAGUACUGCAGGGGAGACUGGAAUUCCUGGUGUAGCGGUGGAAUGCGCAGAUAUCAGGAGGAACGCCGGUGGCGAAUGCGGGUCUCUGGGCAGUGACUGACGCUGAGGAGCGAAAGCGUGGGGAGCGAACAGG
rnacentral:rRNA from 1 species